AUUGAACGCUGGCGGCAGGCCUAACACAUGCAAGUCGAACGAGUGGCGGACGGGAGAGUAAUGUCUGGGAAACUGCGUGAGGGAGGGGGAACACCAGUGGAAACGGAAGAUAAUACCGCAAACACUCAGAUGUGCCCAGAGGGGAUUAGCUUGGUGGUGGGGAAACGGCUCACCAAGGACACGCUCCCUAGGUGGUCUGAGAGGAUGACCAGCCACACUGGAACGGAGACACGGUCCAGACUCCUACGGGAGGCAGCAGUGGGGAAUAUUGCACAAUGGGCGCAAGCCUGAUGCAGCCAUGCCGCGUGUAUGAAGAAGGCCUUCGGGUUGUAAAGUACUUUCAGCGGGGAGGCGUUACCCGCAGAAGAAGCACCGGCUAACUCCGUGCCAGCAGCCGCGGUAAUUC
rnacentral:rRNA from 1 species